AACAAGCCGCGUUUCCUGAGCUCCGCGGAGCAAGCAGAGGAGACCGCAGUGAAGGGGCUCAGCAGACAGGGGUUCCCCAACCCAAACCCAGUCUUCGUCCUCGUCGCACUUCCGACUUGCCACAGACUGCUUCCCUCUCCCUGAAUCAAUGGUUUAGAGUGAACAAACUUCCAGAGCCAACAGAUCUGGAUUUGGCCCCCAACUCUACCAGCGGCGUGACCUUACACUUCCUUCUCCUCAGUUUGCACAUCUGUAAGAUGAGAAAUAACCUAAGAGGAUCACUGUGAAGCUUUAAUUAGAUAAUUUGAGUGAAUGAAAGACACUAUGAAAACAACAGGCUCACUAUAAAGA
rnacentral:lncRNA from 1 species